UGUUUGGUCAGUUUGGUGGAACUCUUGUUUGUGAGCGUUUAGCUUUCCGCCAUCUUGCCUGCAAGCCAUUGGGAAUCGGUUUACGAUCUACGUUUGUUUAGCAAUACAUUGUAGGAAGAUCUGUGAAUAAUGUCAGGACGUAGUGAGUGUCGUAUUUAUGUUGGGAAUCUUCCUCCUGACAUACGCACCAAAGAUAUCCAGGACCUGUUUUAUAAAUUCGGCAAAGUUACAUUCGUUGAUUUGAAAAACCGCAGAGGACCACCGUUUGCAUUUGUUGAGUUCGAGGAUCCCAGAGAUGCUGAAGAUGCGGUACAUGCUCGAGAUGGAUAUGACUACGAUGGUUACAGGCUGAGAGUGGAGUUCCCCCGUGGAGGAGGUCCAAGUGGGUUCCGAGGCAGCCGAGGAGGCAAUGGUGGGAGCAUGGGACGAGGACGAGGACCUCCAGCCCGCAGAUCUCAGUAUAGAGUUCUCGUAACAGGUUUGCCUCCUUCUGGUAGUUGGCAAGAUUUGAAAGACCACAUGCGGGAGGCUGGGGAUGUCUGCUUUGCUGAUGUCUACAAGGACGGUACAGGUGUUGUAGAGUUCCUACGUUUUGAUGACAUGAAGUACGCCUUUAAGAAGUUGGAUGAUUCUCGGUUCAGGUCACACGAGGGUGAAACGUCUUAUAUCCGAGUGAAAGAAGAUUACAGCGGUAGUAGCGGGAUGCGAGACAGCAUGGACCGCGGAGGCAGUGUGAGUCGCCACUCUAGAAGCCGUAGCUACUCACCCCGCCGCCGUGGUUCACCCACAUACUCACCGGUCCGCCGCAGCUACUCCCGUUCCAGGUCUCGCUCCUGAACACAUUUGACAAGGUUGAGGUUAUCAGUGAAGUGCAAUCACCACAUCCUGCCAAAAGGAUAUAUAACGGGUGCUGUGGCUACAACACUCACUCGCUCAGGAUUUCUGUAGCAGUAUUACUGAAGCGUC
rnacentral:misc_RNA from 1 species